rnacentral:rRNA from 1 species
AGCAGCCGCGGUAAUUCCAGCUCCAAUAGCGUAUAUUAAAGUUGUUGCAGUUAAAAAGCUCGUAGUUGAACUUCGGGGUUCACCCAUUGGUCAGGCUUAAUUGUCUGUACUGGUGAGAUGAGUCUCUACCUUCUGAGGAACUUUCAUGCCAUUUAUUUGGUGUGGUUGGAAAUCAGGACUGUUACUUUGAAAAAAUUAGAGUGUUUAAAGCAGGCUAACGUCUGAAUACAUUAGCAUGGAAUAAUGAAAUAGGACGGAUUGAUUCUAUUUCGUUGGUUUCUAGGGUCACCGUAAUGAUUAAUAGGGAUAGUUGGGGGCAUUAGUAUUCAAUUGUCAGAGGUGAAAUUCUUGGAUUUAUUGAAGACUAACUACUGCGAAAGCAUUUGCCAAGGAUGUUUUCAUUAAUCAAGAACGAAAGUUAGGGGAUCGAAGACGAUCAGAUACCGUCGUAGUCUUAACCAUAAACUAUGCCGACUAGGGAUCGGACGCAGUUAAUUUUAUAAUGACGUGUUCGGCUACC